GGUUUUGUAGUGUAGUGGUUAUCACUCGGGAUUUUGACUCGGUGCACUCUUUCCCGAAACCCAGGUUCGAACCCUGGCAAAACCU